rnacentral:tRNA from 1 species
GCGGGCGUGGCGGAAUGGUAGACGCCGGGGACUUAAAAUCCCCUGUCCCUUGUGACGUGCGGGUUCGAGUCCCGCCGCCCGCACCA